rnacentral:lncRNA from 1 species
CUUUCCUCUUAUACUUUCAAUAAACACUUCCCUUUUCACUAGCUCCUUUCUGUCUGUGAUUUCAUUCUUCUACUUUGUGAGAAAAUGUAUUCUGCUUGUGCAGUGAUAGCUGUUGCACUGAGCCCUGUCUUCUAGCCUUUUCCAUCAUCAUGCCCUCCUUGUAACCUUCAAACUUAAAGAAAUAAUAGCCUCAAGGACCAAUGGAACGGAACCGCAGUUCUGUCGGCUGGAUGUGUACUUAGCCAGGGAUCGAACUCAGGACCUUGUGCUUGAGAGGCAGGCGGUGGAACCACUGAGAUAAAUCCCCAGCCCUAAAUAUCAACUUCUUAAGCAAUAAAAAUUUUUUAUAUAUCUGUGAUAAUCAAAUAAGAUUAUCCCUGACAGUAAUCCCUGGCAUCCAGUAGUCAUUAAAUCUUGACUGGUCCUGUGAUGGUUUAUGUCUCUUAUUUGUGUUUACUUUCCUUCUUCUCUGCUCUGAGGAGAUUUGAAGCAACUUACUGAGUUCUAGAGAAAUGGCUCACCAGGAACCAUUCCAAUGGCUGGAGGGUAAACCUUGAGAAGACCUGUAUUGGGCAUCCUGAAAACAAAUGAAUGCUUGGGAGCAUAAAGCUUUAGAAAUUCUCCUGUGGAUUCCAGACAGCUAACAUGCCAAUAUGCACACUGACCAGAGGUGUUUGUAGCCAAAGAAAUACCAGGUCGAGCUUUCUCAGGAAACUGGGUGAGGAACCAAGAGAACACACUCGUUUUCAUAGCUUGGGGUCACCCAGAGCUGACCUGUUGCCAGGGGAGACUGAGGUUACACAUGAAGACCAUUUCAGAGAUCUAGUUCCUUGGCCACAAAGUGGCACUGGAUGAUGCAACCAUGCAUGACAAGAACAUGGACUUUGGGACCCAGCGAUCUCUUAAUUGCAUUUGUGUCACCCACAAGCUGAGUGAUCCCAGCAAAUGACUUCACCUCCUGAAGCCUCGAUUCCUUCACCUAUUUAAUGGAGGUAAUGAUCCCUCCCCAAAGGAUCUUAUAAGUCACUGGGAUCCUGUAUAUGAAGUGCCUGUCCCAGUGUCCUCAGCACUGCUAGCUGUCAUUACCUCCAGGAAAGUAAUAUCACCCCAGUAAGAAUGGCUGUUAUCCAAAAGACAAAGAUAAGUGUUGAGGAUGUGAGAAAAAGAGACCCCUUGCACACUGUUAGUGAGAAUGUAAAUUAGUAUGGCCAUUGUGGAAAACAGUAUGGAAGUUCCUAAAAAGUUAAAAAUAGAAGUACCAUAUGAUCCAGCAAUGCCGCUACUGAGUAUACACCCAAAGGAAAUGAAAUCCAUAUGUCAGAGACAACUGCACUCCCAAGUUUGUUGCAGCAGUACUCACAACAGCCAAGGAAUGGAAACAAGCAGCAAGUUCAUCAUGUGAUGCAUAAGUAAAGAAAAUGCACAUGUGCACAAUGGAAUCCUGUUCAGCCAUUAGAAAUACAGAAUCUCCUCACUUGCAACAACACAGAUGGAACAGGAGAUCCUUCUGUUGAGUGAAUA